rnacentral:lncRNA from 1 species
CAUGGGAGAUGGGAGGAGCUUGGCUUUUGGUUCCAAGUCUCUGGAUUGAGGUACCUCUACUUACUUCAGCUUGAAGGGACAGCCCAAUCAGCUCUGAAAAGAUGUUGCAGAAAUAGCUUCACGUAUUAGAAGAGAGGAAGAACAGGAUUUCCAGGGCACAAAUGGCUUUGUGCUUCAGGCAGGCAUUACCAAGUGAUCCAGUUCUAGGCAGGAAUUUCAGAAUGGACCUCUCUGAUAAUGUUACAGGUGAGGGAAAUAAGGUUCUUUGAGGUUCCACCCUGCCCAAAAUUACUCAACCAGGACUGAAGUGAAAGAGCUGGGACUGAAUGCAUGAAAGUUCAGGUAUUCUCUCUUUAUAUCCAAUUCUUCUACUUUUAAACCAACCACAGUGACUCUUUGUAAAGAAAUAACUCCAAGUGAGUGCUCUUACUAUUUGAUUAAAAAAAAAAGUGUGGGGAGAGAUGAAAUGAUUUAAUGAUAUUUAAUACCCCUAUAUGGGAUAAUCUAGGAAAUGCAGGCUAAGGGUUUUUCCAACUUUU